CACGUAGGGGCCAAGCGUUGUCCGGAUUUAUUGGGCGUAAAGAGCUCGUAGGCGGUUCGACAAGUCGGGUGUGAAAACUCCGGGCUCAACCCGGAGACGCCACCCGAUACUGUCGUGACUGGAGUCCGGUAGGGGAGUGGGGAAUUCCUGGUGUAGCGGUGAAAUGCGCAGAUAUUAGGAAGAACACCAGUGGCGAAGGCGGCUCACUGGCCCGGUACUGACGCUGAGGCGCGAAAGCGUGGGGAGCAAACAGG
rnacentral:rRNA from 1 species